CCCUGUGACACAGGCUUGCCGUCCCCUGCCAACCCGCGCCGUUCCAAGAACCCGAAGGCACCUGCAGCCUUCCAGGUGAGCCUCAGGGGGACAGAGGCAGCGUCCCCAAGGGCCCCUCUCCCGGCUCCUGGUGGCAGCCCGUCUCAGCCAGUGGGGGUGUCGGUGGCACUGUGUUUUCCUAGCACAAAAACACCGCAUUGUUCUCAUCACCGUCUUGGAACCAGAGGUACAGAGGACAGCCAGCUCAGCACAGCUGCUGUCAGCUCAGUGUCUCUGUCGCCCACCCGCCCACAGCGAGACCCAAUUCCAACGCUGGGCGCUGUAGGAGAGAACCCAUCUCUUGCGUCUUCCGGCUUCGGUGGCUGCUGGCCACGUGGCUCAGCCUCUUGCCUCUGUGGCCACAAUCCCUCCGCCUCGCGAUGGCAAGGUCCCGUCGGGACAAUCCAGCCCCAAUCCCCAUCGCCAUCAGAGGGGGCGUGUUCGCGGUUCCAAGGGCGAGGGCUCAGCCUCCCACACGGGCCACGUCCUGUGUCUCUGCAGUCGGGGGCGGAUGCUGUGGCCUCCUGCUGCCUGGGUGGUGGCGUGGCUGUGAUCUGUCCCUGCACCUGGGGAGAAGGGGGCCCUGUGUCCCCCCAGCUGCAGGCAGAGUUGGGUCUGAGUGCCCAGAACUAUAAGGAAGCCGCAGACACUCUGCCUGGAGCCCGGAUGGCAGACGGUCUCCUCGGAAGCCCCCUCCCCCCGCCGUCCCCCGUCUCUCUGCUGUCGUCUCUGCGGAUUUGUGCCAGGGACAGGUCCUGGCCACCAACAGAGCAGCUGAGGGGUCCCUGGUCCCACUGGACGCCUUUCUCUGGGACCGCUACUUGCGUGAGAGUCCCCUGGGCCAGGCGCACCCCAGAAGGCAUCUCCUGGGCCAGGCGCACCCUGGAAGGCGGAGCUUGCUGGGCGGAGCCAGCUGGAGCAGCGGCUGCAGAGGCACAGGACCCAGGCAGCCCCUGCGGCGGGGCAGGGCUGGGCCCGGAGCCCCGUGGCGAGCCAGGAGCUGGGGGAGAGGUGCGGAGGGAGGCAGCUGUGGCCGGAGGAGAGGCUUCGCAUCGGCUUCACUGGGUAGAGCGACCAGCGGACCCGGCUUCCACCAGCUGA
rnacentral:lncRNA from 1 species